GCGUGGCGAGUGGACUCUCGUGAACGCGCACAGGAGGCUUGACGUCACUGAAGCGCCCUGGUUCUCCUGAGCCGCUUGUACUGCUGGCAAAAGAUGGAAAAAUCUGAUUGACAUUUAUCCAACAUUUCACGCCAAAUUGCCAUUUUCGACACCCGUGUGCAUUUGACAAAAGGACGGCGACCUGGAACUAAUCCGAGCUCCACCGGACAGCAAGAAAGGCCAGCGUAAUAUUUUCAAGACUGAUCUUUAAAGUGAAGCUGCAGAGACCAUGAAUGAUCUGCUUACGGCGUCCAACUAAACCAGAAAAAUCCCCAAACUAAAUCCACCUAACAGCAAAAAGGCAGAAGAAAAUCACCUGCAGGGAAACACCUACAGAUAAUUUGGAUUGUGCAUCAGUUCCACUACAACAUCAGGUUUUCCCAGUUAGCUCAACAUGUACGGAAGUGCUCGUUCCGUCGGCAGGGGGGAUGCCAACCACGGUGGAGGAAGAGAUGCAGGUGGUUCUAGCAGUCAGGGGUCUGGACGCUCCCCCCGCCUUCCCCGCUCUCCCAGGAUGGGACAUCGGCGCACCAACAGUACAGGCGGCAGUGGAGGAGGACCUGGAGGAGCAGGGGGCAAAACACUUUCUAUGGAAAACAUCCAGUCCCUCAAUGCUGCAUAUGCCACUUCAGGACCCAUGUAUCUAAGUGAUAAUGAGGUCGCCAUGGCAGGGGAUCAUGUAGGCAGAAGUGGCGGGACGGGGACCACCAUAGGUAGACAAAGGGUGACAUAUGGGUCCAGGGGCAGCAGCGGCGGAGUGGUAGCGGCUAGCACUCCUAAUAUUUCCACAUCAAUGCCUGCUAACGCUGUGCUGCCAGCAGGUAUGAUGGCAGGUGAUGCUCUAGCUUUCGGGGACCACCACAUGGCCUCCACAGUCCCCCAUUCUCUGCGGCAGGCAAGAGACAACACCAUACUUGAUCUGCAGGCCCAACUUAAAGAGGUUCUUCGCGAAAACGAGAUUUUACGGAGGGAUGCGGAAGUCAAGGAAAGUAAACUCAGUUCCUCUAUGAAUUCUAUCAAGACUUUCUGGAGCCCCGAGCUGAAAAAGGAGCGAGCUCUCAGGAAAGAUGAAGCUUCUAAGAUCGCAGUUUGGAAGGAGCAAUAUCGUGUGAUCCAGGAUGAAGCACAGCAUCUCCAGAUGACGGUUCAGGCUCUCCAGGAUGAGCUGAGGAUCCAAAGGGACCUGAACCAGCUGCUGCAGCAAGACCCAGCCAGCCAGGGGAGGGACCUGGCCCUGACCUCUGAACCUACAGAAGAGAACUAUCGGCGGCUGCACGGGGAGCACGAGAGACAGGCCAAAGAGCUCUUCCUGCUGCGGAAGACGCUUGAGGAAAUGGAGCUGAGGAUUGACACGCAAAAACAAACCCUGGUGGCCAGAGACGAGUCCAUUAAGAAACUUUUAGAGAUGCUGCAGAGUAAAGGACCGUCUGCCAAAGCAUCAGAGGAGGACCAGGAGAGGACCAGGAGACUGGCUGAUGCUGAGAUGCACCGCCAUCAUCUGGAGAGUUUGUUGGAGCAGAGAGAAAGAGAAGUUACAGCACUUAGAGAGGAACUUCACCGUCGUUACGAGGGAACCCCAGAAUCUACCAAAACAAAGGCUCUACAGACUGUUAUCGAUAUGAAGGAUGCAAAAAUCAACUCCAUGGAGCGGAGUCUGCGGGACAUGGAGGAGGAGCUGCUGAUGCUGAAAUCAAACGGCCUUCUGAGCUGCGAGGAGCGUCAGGAGGAGAUGAAGCAGAUGGAGGUGUACCGCAGUCACACCAAGUUCAUGAAGAACAAGAUGGAGCAGGUGAAGCAGGACCUUUCCAGAAAGGACACCGAGAUGCUCGGUCUGCAAACGAAGCUGGAGACCCUGACCAACCAGUUCUCAGACAGCAAACAACAUAUUGAAGUUCUCAAGGAAUCUCUUACUGCUAAGGAGCAACGAGCUGCCAUCCUACAGACAGAGGUUGAUGCUUUACGUCUGCGCCUGGAGGAGAAGGAGGCAACUCUAAACAAGAAGAGCAAGCAGAUCCAAGAGAUGUCAGAGGAGAAGGGAACCCUCAACGGAGAAAUCCACGACCUAAAGGACAUGCUGGAGGUUAAGGAGCGCAAGAUUAAUGUACUACAGAAAAAGAUUGAGAACCUGCAGGAGCAACUCAGAGACAAAGAGAAGCAGAUGAGCAGCCUGAAGGAAAGAGUGAAGUCUUUGCAGGCCGACACUUCCAACACCGACACUGCUCUCACAACCCUGGAGGAGUCGCUUUCCGAAAAAGAGCGCAUCAUCGAGCGUCUGAAGGAGCAGCGCGAUCGAGACGACCGGGAGAAGACGGAGGAACUCGAAUGCACCAAAAAGGAACUGAAAGAGUUGAAGGAGAAGUUAAGUUUGCUGCAGGGAGACCUUUCAGACAGAGAGACUUCUCUCUUGGACCUGAAGGAGCAUGCGUCUUCCCUGGCCUCCUCGGGACUGAAGAAAGAUUCAAAACUGAAAAGUAUGGAGAUCACUUUGGAGCAGAAACGGGAGGAGUGUCUAAAACUGGAAAACCAGCUAAAGAGAGCUCAGAAUGCAACGCUGGAAGCACAAGCCAACACAGAGCUGGCCGAGCGCAUCAAGAGUCUGGAGCGAGAAGUGAGUCGCUACAAAGAAGAUUCUGUGAAGGCUCAGGCAGAGGUGGACCGCCUUCUUGAAAUCCUCCGAGAAAUGGAAAACGAGAAGAACGAUAAGGACAAAAAGAUCAGCGAGCUGGAGAGUUUGGCUUCCAGGCAGAUGAAGGACCAGACGAAAAAGGUGGCAUCGCUGAAGCACAAGGAGCAGGUGGAGAAGAGCAAGAACGCCCGUCUGAUGGAGGAGGCCAGGAAGAGGGAGGACAACAUGUCUGAAUCCUCCCAGCAGGUAAAGGACACCCUGCGUCAGAAGUCGGAGCGCAUCGAGGAGCUAGAGGAGGCGCUGAGGGAGAGCGUUCAGAUAACAGCUGAGAGAGAAAUGGUGCUGGCGCAGGAGGAGGCUGCCCGCUCGCUACAGGAGAGACAGAAGCACUCACUCAAACCAAUGCAUGAGUCCAACCUCGCCCACUUUAAGUGGUCUAAGAUGGAGGAGCUGCUGGGCGCCAUGGAGAAGGUGAAACAGGAGCUGGAGUCGAUGAGGGCCAAGCUGGCCUCCACCCAGCAGUCUCUGUGUGAGAAGGAGGCGCAUCUCACAACCCUGCGAGCCGAGCGCAGGAAACAUCUGGAGGAGGUGCUGGAGAUGAAGCAGGAGGCGUUGUUAGCUGCCAUCAGUGAGAAGGACGCCAACAUCGCGUUGCUGGAGUUAUCGUCCUCUAAGAAGAAGAAGACCCAGGAUGAGGUGGCCAUGCUGAAGCGGGAGAAGGACCGACUGGUGCAACAGCUCAAGCAGCAGACUCAGAACAGGAUGAAGCUCAUGGCAGACAACUACGAGGACGAUCACCUAAAGACUGCAACUGACCACACGAACCACAAACCUUCUCCAGACCAGGAUGAUGAGGAGGGUAUUUGGGCAUAGCCGGCCUGUUGCCCUCCUCCUCUCUCUCACAUCUGUUUUGUUCCGAAUGAUGAUUCCCCCUCUUUUAGCCUUGUGCCAGAACCGCAGCAAGCUCAAACUCUACAUCGCCCACUUGACCGACCUCUGCCACGACCGAGAUCCCGGCAUCCUCAGUCAGCUGACCCCGCCCCCUCACUAUCACCACAGUGACCCAGAAGGCUGGGAGGAGGAGCUUCAGAAGAUGAGCAUCGAACAGCUGAAGCAGGAGCUGGAGUUGUGUGAGAGAGAGAGCGGAGAGCUGCAGGAGUUUGCCAACGCCGUUCUGCAGCAGAUCGCAGACUGCUGUCCCGACAUCCUGGAGCAGGUUGUCAAAGCCCUGGAGGAGUCCUGAUGACCACAGCGGGCUCCGCUCAGGAGUUUCUCCCCUCCAAAGCAUGACUGACACUCGGGGGGGUGUUAUCAUUCGUCCCACUGGACUCUGCCUCUUUAAGCCGUUGAAGCCAGAAGUGCUUUUUAGCUUCACUGUUGCUCCGAGGAGAGAGUGUAAAACCAAAUUAACAUCCAGGAUUUAGUGCACAAACCUGAACUUUAAUCACAAAUCCCCCUUCAAAAUCCAUGACGUUUACAGGUUAAAGAGGACACCCCCACUCUGGAGGUGGUCUGCUCAUCCACUAAACUAAAAAAAAAAGAGGUACAGGAAAGCACUUUCAGUCAGGAAGGCGGUGCAGAGUGGAGCUUAGUGUUUUUUAUUUUUUUGAACCAAAUGAGCACAAACGCUCCUAAAAAGUUGGUACACAGUCAGUGGCUGGAUCAUUGGCAUUAGAGGGGGGGGGGUCAAGGCCUGUUUGUUUUUUUAAUCAAAGAUCAGAUUUCAUGUUCUCAGUGAGAGAGAGGAUGGAAUAUAAAAAAAAAAAACUCUAUUUGUUGGUGGUUAUGUAUUAAUCUCUGGAUGGUUUUGCACACGGCAUCCACUUGUUUAUGAGGUAUGCAAUGUUUCUUUAGAGAACGUUCUCGUGGCCUUGGAGCAUGCACAAAGACCAGUACUGGACCUAAAGCAGGGAUCUUUAUUCCUCUGUCACAAUGGUGCUAAGGCAUGAAGUAAAGAGUUUUCAAAUAACACUAAUUCAGUUUCUGCUAAAGUUUCAAUAGGUGUCACUUAAACCUCACCAGAUCUUUUAAUUUACCAAAAAAAAAAAAAAAAGAUAAUUUUUCCUCCUUUUUUCUUUAGCGGUGAGGUUUAAUCAAGUGCAUCUACUUUUACGGAAAAUCUUUUCAAUAGAGUUCGACAUUUUAAAUCAGUUUGUAAAUAAAGUGAUAUUUAACACGUACUGUCACUGAAUAAAGUCAAGUGGAAGGUGUUGUGCAUUCAAAAAUACAUAUUAAAAGAUAAAAGCAGUGCAGUCGUCGGGAUGUGUGUGUGUGUGUGUGUGUGUGUGACAGUGCUGCAGGAAAUCAUGUUCUUCAUAUGGAAAAAAUAAAUACUGUUUACUGUAUGGAUAUGCAUUGAAUGUUUGUACAGAUUCUCCAAGAGUUUGUUGCUCUGAAAAAAAACAGUCAAAAUAAUUUAAGUCUGAAUGUUUUUAAGCAAAGACUGUGUGAUAGGAAAGCACUUUCCUUAUAUAUUUUUUUUUGGCAUAAACAUAUUUUCACUGAAAGGUGACAUCUUAGGACUGUUUCUUUUUUUUUGUAGAUGAUUUGAAUUUUUUGAAUAAAAAGCACAGAAUCUGCGAACACCCAGAAAAAAAAGAACCUGUCAGAUGGAUUUCUGAGUGUCGGUGGCCUGUGCGUCAGUCCUUGCCUUAAGGUGGGGUCGUCUCUGCUUUACCUCAGCUCUUUACUGCGUGGGUCACAGAGCUGCUGCGUGAGAGGCUUCAGUCAACUUCUAUGUGUGUUUGCUCUUUUGCAUUUGCGUCAGACUCGUACUGCCUUGUGUCUGUUACUAAAUCAAACUAAAAAAGGAAAGUGAAACAGACGUGAGUUAUUCCGAUUUUGUAUGUAUGUAAAUAAAGAAAUUAUAAGCCUGUGGA